AUGAAGCAAGAGAUAGAGAGAUUGAGGCUAUGGCAGAAAGUCAUGGAGGAUCAGCGACCAAGACUGGCCUGGAACAACAAACCUAUUGAGACAGAAAGAGAGAGGGAAAGAGAGAGAGAAAGGGAGAUGGAAAGGGAGAGAAAAGCAGAAUUGGAAAGACAAGAAAUGAAGAAGAAAGUGAAACAGGCAGAAGAAACGAUAAAAGCGUUAGAACGAGAAAUUGAGAGAUUGAAAGAGAUUGAAAAGGAGAUCAUAUUUGAAAGAGAAAGAGACAUGCGUAUUGCGGAGAAUGAGAAAGUCAAACUGGUUAACGAAAAGGCAAAAGAGUUAGAGAUGGAGGUUGAGAGACUGAAAGAAGAUAUGACAACAAAAGAAAUGCAAUACAAAAUCAAAUUUGAAAGAGCGAAAGAAGCGUAUAGAAGACAGAAUGAGAGAGUGAAACAGGUUAACCAAAAUGUACUAGUUUUAGACAGAGAGGUUGCGAGAAUGAAAGAAGAGAUUAGAUUGAAAGAUGAGACUGAACCAGAGAGAACAUUUGAUAGAGACAGAGAGAGAGAAAAUGAUUGGAGACGAAGAGAAGAGGAGAUGAAAUAUAGAGUGGAGAGAGAGAUGGAGAUGGAGACAGCCCUCAUCAAUGACAAAAAGACGUCUGAAUUGGAGGAAGUCUUCAAGAAAAUCAAGGAACAGCUGAUAGAAUUAGAAAAUAUGGAAACAGACAAAAAUCUAUGGAAACAGAACCAAAUGGACAUGGAGGAGAAGACGGAGGGUGAGAACAACAAACAGAAAGAUGUAGAAAGAAAGAGAAUGGAGAAAAUACCAAAACACAGACAACAAGAAGAUGAGAAGAAGAAGGAGAUGGAGAGAGAAGAAGAAGAGGAGAGACACAAACAGAAGCAAAUAGAGAUGGAAGAGGAAGAACGAGAGAGGGAGAAAGAGAGACAGAUCAAAAGAAAGAGAAUGGAGAAGAGACAGAAACAUUUGGAAAGAGAGGAAGAGAGACAGAGAGAGAUUGAAAGAGAGCAUGAAGAAGAAAGAUGUAAACAGAAGAAAAUAGAGAUGGAAGAGAAAGAAAGAGAAGAAGAGAGACAGAGAGAGAUUGAAAGAGAGAAUAAUGAAGAAAUAUGUAAACAGAAGCAAAUAGAGAUGGAAGAGGAAGAACGAGAGAGGGAGAAAGAGAGACAGAGACAGAUCAAAAGAAAGAGAAUUGAGAAGAGACAAAAAAAUAUGGAAAGAGAAGAAGAGAGACAGAGAGAGAUUGAAAGAGAGAAUGAAGAGGAACUAUUUAAACAGAGGCAAAUAGAGAUGGAAGAGGAACAACGAGAAAGGGAGAAAGAGAGACAGAGAGAGAUCAAAAGAAAUAGAGACAGAGAGAGAUGGGAGAGAAAGAGAGACGACAACAACAAGAGGAGAGAAAGAGAACGUUUGAGAGAGAUCAAGAAGAAGAAGAUAUAUGGAAACAGAAGCAAAUUGACAUGGAGAAGGAGGGAAGAGAGAGGGAGAAGAAGAUACAGAGAAAGAUAG
rnacentral:lncRNA from 8 species